rnacentral:tRNA from 1 species
GUAGGGCUGUAGCUCAGUGGUAGAGCACUCACCUCACAUGUGCAAGGCACUGGGUUCGAUCCUCAACACUACA